rnacentral:lncRNA from 1 species
UCAUCACUAGUGAUGAAUGUCAGAUUUGAAUCUUUCCCAAAAAGCAAUAAAAUGUAGUGGCUAAAAAUUUAGGUUCAGGACUCCUACAGCUUGGAUUUGAGUUCUAACUAACUGUGACCUCAAGCUUUGGUUUCCUAAGAGCUACUCUUACAUUAUAAUGGGAUUUCUGUCUUAGUCCCUUUGGCUGCUGCAGCAAAGUACAAACUGGGUGACUUAAAACAACAGAGAUUUACUGUCACAUUGCUGGAGGCUGAAAAUCCAAAAUCAAGGUGUCAGCAGGCUAUGCUCCCCAUGAAACCUCUAGGGGAGAUCCUUUCUUGCUUCUUCCAGCUUCUGGUGGUGACAGACAUUCAUUAGUUUGUGGCAGCGUAACUUACCUGCUUCCAUCUUCACAUGCCAUCUUCCCUUUGUGUCUGUGUGGCCCUGUGUCUUCUCGUGGCCAUUAAUGUGCGUGUGUCUCUGUCUUCACAUGGUGUUCUCCUGGUUUGACUGUGUCCAGAUUUCCCUCUUACAGGGAUGCCAGCCAUAUUGGAUGAAGGCUUACUCUAAUGACCUUGUCUUGAUUAAAUCUCUAAGGUCCCUAUGUCCAAAUAAGGUCACAUUCUCACAGACUGGGUCAGGACUACGAUAUGUCUUUUUUGAAGGAGGGAAGAGGGACACAAUGGAACCUGUAACAGGUUGAAAUGAUAAUUAUAUAAAGCGCUUAGAAAAGUGCCUUGCACAGAGUAAGCACACGGUGCGAGUUAGCUAGUAUUAGUCUGAAUGUCCACCCAUCAUGCCUUUUACUUCACUUUACUUAUCUUUAGAAUAGGAAAUGGAAACUGGAUGAGCUAAGAUCACUUUUUGUCUUCAAUUAUAAAGAGAGACAAUGGAAGCAAAUGGAGAUUGAGCGGGAGAUAGGCACGGUAGAUUUUGAUGUAUCCGUGUACCCAGCUGACCUUGCCGGUCAUUUGGGACCCGGCUUGGAAGGAUUCUCACAUCUCUCUGAAAUCUGGGUAAUUAGCUGAUUUACACUUUUUCUCAGCUCUUAGAUGACUUAAAACAGGCAUUCCUGACACUGAGCCUAAGAUCUGUUCCAGACCACAUCAGGCCCCAGAAACCCCUUUCACACCUCCUUGCAGCUAAUAUCCAGUCCUGUGUCUUUUUCUGCCUUUUGUGAACUCAGGUUCCCUCCUUGGCCUCUGGUCCACCCUCACUGUGCUAUACACCUCUCCUUAUGACUUAGCUAAUUCUUGGUGCGAAACUCAACCCAGAAAUGUGGUGUGAGGUUAACAGCAUACAGCUUAAGGAGCAGAGAGGGACUUAACCAAUUAAAGAGCCACACGAAGAGGUAAUGACGGUCUGUUAUAAAUGCUUUGAAGAAAAAUACAGCCCGAGCAUUCUUCACCUGUGCUGUUGAUGUAAGUCCAUCUCAUCCAUUGCAAGCUUUUCCCUCUUUACUCAUCAGAAUCAGAUGCUCUUCCUGCAGUUUUCGCUUGCAGCCUCGGCUGAGCCUGUCUCAUUUGGCUCUCCCCUACCGUCUUCACGUACGCAUUCAGCAGACACUCACAGCUCUGAUCAUGCUGGGGCCACUCAGUGCUCCAGGUCCAGGGCCAAGUAGGAAAAAGCCCCUGCCCUGGCGGGGCUUGAAGCAGGUGAGAUUAACGGGUUAGUGAGCAGGCGAUGGGAGUGGUGAGGACUCUGACACCCCAACACACAGGCAAGGCUCUGGGAACACAGAAACCUCAUGCCCGCCUGGGCAGUGAGAGAGAGCCUCACAGUGCUUUGUAAGCUGAGUUUUAGAAGGAAGAGAGCAGGGUCUGGGGAUGCAAUUGUCAUGGCUGGAACAUCCAGUGUAAAGCAUACAGGAUUGGCCCAGGGAGGGAAGCUAGACCUGCCUCUGGCUCUGUUCAAAUUUUAAUCCUGAAGUACAUGAAAAUAAUUUAGGCUAAUAGAGAAAUAUAAGGUUGCUGGUUUCACUAACGAGCGAAUUUGACAAGCUUUGUCAAAUCAUAAAGCUAAGUCUGAAUUAUCAGAGUUUGUCAGAUGAUAAAGCUAAACUGAAUUCUCAGGCUGAUGAAUUAAUUUGUAUGUCUAUACCUGUACAAGCAAAAGUGAUGUGAAUGUAUCAGUUGCAAUUACGUAUUCAAGAUGAUAGCUCUUGCAACUAUAUAUUUGAUAAUACUUUUAAUAAUUGCAUAACCUUGCUAUAUUUGUUUUCAAAAGUAAAGCAAAA